AAAGCCUUAAGUUAAAGAAACUAAUAACCUUCAAAGUUAUAAAUAUAUAAAUAUAUAGG
rnacentral:tRNA from 1 species